rnacentral:rRNA from 1 species
UGGGGAAUAUUGGACAAUGGGCGCAAGCCUGAUCCAGCCAUGCCGCGUGUGUGAAGAAGGCCUUUUGGUUGUAAAGCACUUUAAGCGAGGAGGAGGCUACUUGGAUUAAUACUCUAGGAUAGUGGACGUUACUCGCAGAAUAAGCACCGGCUAACUCUGUGCCAGCAGCCGCGGUAAUACAGAGGGUGCGAGCGUUAAUCGGAUUUACUGGGCGUAAAGCGUGCGUAGGCGGCUUCUUAAGUCGGAUGUGAAAUCCCUGAGCUUAACUUAGGAAUUGCAUUCGAUACUGGGAAGCUAGAGUAUGGGAGAGGAUGGUAGAAUUCCAGGUGUAGCGGUGAAAUGCGUAUAGAUCUGGAGGAAUACCGAUGGCGAAGGCAGCCAUCUGGCCUAAUACUGACGCUGAGGUACGAAAGCAUGGGGAGCAAACAGG